CAGAUAUGAAAGAGGACUUCCGGAACCGCUUCACACAGAGGCAAGAAUGAUGAGACAAGUGUGCUUGAGGGGAAUUAAGGGUCUGGUUGACCCGUAUGCAGCAGAACUGUCAUAUGAUCCUAACUGGAUAGAUGAUUGGUUGAAGGACUCACUGAAACCUUGACUUCCAUGAUCCAGGAGUAAAAGGACAGUGUAAGCCUACCUUCAUUAUGCCCAAAGACAGAGAGCCCUAUGAACAGAAAUAAACACCCA